CCCAAACCUAACCCAUUGUCCCCUCCCCACACCCACACACGUGGCGGCGGCAGGAUCCGCAGGCGCGGUGGCGGGACCCUAGGCGGCGCGGCGGCGGGAGUGGCGACAACGUGAUGCUCAGGAGGCGCAGAUGGCGGCGGGGUGAUCCAGGCGGCGCGCCCUCAUUCGCGCCCACUCCUUCGCCCUCUGGAUCCCCAGGCGCCCCCAGCGGCUGGCCGACCCGGGAGCGCGGUGCGCCCUAGCGGUGCGAACCGGCUGGCGUGCGCACGCUUUGCGGCUCCGGGCUCUCCCAGCGGAGCGAGGGCGGCUGGCCCGACCGGGUGGGAGCGCGGCUCGGGCGCCCCCAGCGAGCGAGCGCUGCUUGCCCGACCGGGCGGGAGCACCCGAGAUCCACAGCCGGGGAUCCGCAGCACCGCUCCCCUACGCGCCUAGCCCUCCCUCCCCUACGGUUCCUCGACGAGCGCGCCGUGCUCCAGGGUGUAAAUGCCAAGGGUUAAAAUCAAAGGCAAUCUUCCUAAAAGCAUCAAAGUAACAUCAAGGUAUAUCUCAAGUAAACACCAAUUCUUCCUGAUAUGGGGUCAUCCUACCGCCCUGCUUGCGGUAUAUCUCAAGUAAUCCCGUAAUACUUACAAAUAUCAGUGGUCCCUCAAUACCCCAGCGAUACUUGCAUAUUUUUCAGUAAUUCUCUGUAACCCAGUAGUAGUAUGUAGCAUUUAAGUUAUCUGAGUAAAGCAGUAACCUAGUAAUUCAGUAUCCUGCCGGUCUCACUCUGUUUUUCUCAGUGACCUUUUUCAGAGUUCUCAAUGACACCCCUUUCCGACUCAUCGUCUCAUGCAUAUGACAGUGAUAGUACUGAACUUCACAAGGGAGAGGGUUCCAAGUGAAGAGAAAGAUACUUCAUGUGUUUUUUGAAGGCUUUUUUUUAUUUUGGAAGCUGCAUGAGAUAGUUAAUCGCAACUAAUGUGUACAUAUGCAUAAUCACCGCCCAACUAUAUGUAUAUCAUUGGAUUCAGUAAUCCAGUAAUUAUGUACAUGUACUAUUCAGUAUUAUGUACUUUUUUCCAGUAAUUUCUCAGGUUUUUGGUGAAUUGUUUUUCCAGUAACACACCAUGUACAUGCUCGGAUUCAGUAAUAGGGAGAUCCAGUUAUUCAGUAUUUUCUUUUA